GGGGGGCCCGGGGUCGGGGGAGCCCGGGCGCCCGGGCGGGGGUCGAGGUGCCGCGGUAUCGGGGCGCGUCGCGGCCCCGUAUGUAGGAGCGGCCGCGUGCGGUUCCUGUAUCUGCACCAGGAUGGCCGAGUGGUUAAGGCGUUGGACUUAAGAUCCAAUGGACGUAUGUCCGCGUGGGUUCGAACCCCACUCCUGGGUAGUGUCAUCGUAUUCCAGCCUAUUGAAAGUGCGCGAUGUACAAAUUAAGCCUAGACUGCCACACUGUAAAAUAUUAGUGUUUGUCAGAGUGCCCUCCUCAAAUUAAUACAGCGGCAACUGGGUGGAUGGAGGCAGUGGCCCUUCCCUUGUUUGCAGGAAAACUUGCUCCGUCCUGGGCAGCCCAGCUGUUUGACAGCUCCAGUGUGUGAAGACAGGAACAGUUUGAGGUCACCUCCGCUGGUUUUGUUGCUUGGAUCCGUUUAGCCGUCUGCUUUGGGCUCUCCUCUCUCUUGUACUUCUUCCAUGGUGCAGUUUUAUGCUUGAGUGGGUUUAACAGUGGCCAAAGGGGUAAUGCUUUUUCCUUCUUUGCCCUUGACAUCGCUCUUCCACUGCUGCUCUUUGUGCUGAAGCACUUUGCUUCUUUGGAGUCAGCCAAACAGCAGUGCUGGAGAAACAGACCCCGUGGGGACACGCACGUGAGAAAGGGAAGUGUCUGUUAGCUGGCAGCUGCCCUCUGGCUCAGCCAUACCAUAGAACUACUGCCUCUAUAGGCACCUGCCUGGCCUUGCAAGUUAUCUACUCUUUUGCUCUACAAAUCCAAAGUAAUUGAGCUGUUGAGGAACAAUGCGGAUCACAAAGGCCGUAAAAGACAAAUAUCAUCUGAAGAUAAAGCACGCACAGUCAAGAGAAUCGGGGCUGUGAAGUUUGCAGCGAAGAUUAAAUGAUUCAGAAAGCAGCCCCUUUGAGGAUGCAUUGCAACAUACGGUCUUUGAAGAAACCGUUCCCCUGGAGCCCCCCCUGGCUAGACCUCCCCACACUAAACCUGAGAGUCUUCCUGUACAUAAAGGGCUCUGACGGCAGUCUAGACCUCUGAAAAGCCUCUUCAUGCCAGUGCUGGAACUACAGACGGCUGCAGGAACACCACCACCUGCUGAUUUGGCUUCCUGGUGGCAGAGCUGGUGACUGGCCCUGCUGGAGACCCUGUACCCCACAGCUGAGGGGAACCAGCAAAGCUACUAGGGUGUGUGGCAAAUACAGAGCCUUACAAAGUGUUUGGUGCUCUCUCCCCGGUCACUUUCUGCCUGUGCUGGUGCAGGAAGGUGGAUGGUUUCCAGCCGAAACAGCUGAUGGAAAAUUCCCACUACGGAAGAAAAAGUAGAGGCUUAUUCUUCUGUAACAGUGGGCUGGAGUCACACCUUGUAAAGCUGGGGCACGGGGUGGUGCCCCCACUGCGCCUGUGCCCCGUGAGAGACGCAGGGGUGCUUCUGCUGCUGUCAGGCUGCCGGGUGGUGAUUCGGGGAUCCUCACUGCUCCCCUGGGUGUGCCUUUCUCACUGCUCCAAGUGAAGAUCAGAAGAAAAUCAGAGCUCAGCACUGAAAGCAAGCUGAGCAUGGAGUGUUUGGAGGGGAGGCCCCAUAAGGAGAAUGCACAGUGACUGAAUCACUUCACCACCCACUGAAAUACUCUACAAAUAAAGUUGUGUUUAAUUAUAGAUCGCAUGCUGGAAUGAUGUAAUCCUGAAUGUAUAUAGGGGAGAGCACUCCAAAUCAUUACCUUAGGUAUUAGUGACAGCUUUGGCUGAAUUUGAAAGUGUAUCCUCAAGGUGAAAAGCAGUCCUUGGAUUUACAGGAUUUCUGAAUCCUCUCUAGGACUUGUAGGCUUCCUCAGUCAUUGUUGAAAAGGUUUUGUUUUCCUUCAUUUUUCACAUUCUAAUUUGGUAACGUUUCUUUCCCGUUGCUAGUGCUACCAGGCCUCUGUUUGUUGGUCGCUGUUCCUAAAAACAAAUCCGGGCUUAGACUUCCGUGGGAAAAAGAUGUGGAGUAGGGAGAAGGAGGAAGGCCCUUUGGAAGAUUUGCGGCGUUUGAUGAUGUUACAAAUGAGGCCAACAGCUGUUUUAAAAAGAGCUAUUCAACUGGUUUAUUUAUGUCAAAAAUGGGGGAGGCCAAUGAAACUCGUGCCCGCUUUGUUCUAAGGCUCAGGAUGUUCUGCUGGUCGUAUUUAUCCGCCUGCUGUGUGCUUUAUCUUUGGCUGGUGUCAGUGGAGGUUUUUGUAAUAGCCUGUUUAUUUCACUCUAUUGCUCUGAGAUGUCAGUGCAGCUUUGCGCUUUGGAUAUUUAUAAAUAAAUCAUUACUUUCA